rnacentral:rRNA from 1 species
GGGUGGUAAUGCCGGAUGCUCCAGUUGAUCGCAUGGUCUUCUGGGAAAGCUUUCGCGGUAUGGGAUGGGGUCGCGUCCUAUCAGCUUGACGGCGGGGUAACGGCCCACCGUGGCUUCGACGGGUAGCCGGCCUGAGAGGGCGACCGGCCACAUUGGGACUGAGAUACGGCCCAGACUCCUACGGGAGGCAGCAGUGGGGAAUAUUGCACAAUGGGCGCAAGCCUGAUGCAGCGACGCCGCGUGAGGGAUGGAGGCCUUCGGGUUGUAAACCUCUUUUAUCGGGGAGCAAGCGAGAGUGAGUUUACCCGUUGAAUAAGCACCGGCUAACUACGUGCCAGCAGCCGCGGUAAUACGUAGGGUGCAAGCGUUAUCCGGAAUUAUUGGGCGUAAAGGGCUCGUAGGCGGUUCGUCGCGUCCGGUGUGAAAGUCCAUCGCUUAACGGUGGAUCCGCGCCGGGUACGGGCGGGCUUGAGUGCGGUAGGGGAGACUGGAAUUCCCGGUGUAACGGUGGAAUGUGU